rnacentral:rRNA from 1 species
CCUACGGGAGGCAGCAGUGAGGAAUAUUGGUCAAUGGACGAGAGGCUGAACCAGCCAAGUAGCGUGAAGGAUGACUGCCCUAUGGGUUGUAGACUUCUUUUAUAAAGGAAUAAAACGAGGCACGUGUGCCUUUUUGCAUGUACUUUAUGAAUAAGGAUCGGCUAACUCCGUGCCAGCAGCCGCGGUAAUACGGAGGAUCCGAGCGUUAUCCGGAUUUAUUGGGUUUAAAGGGAGCGUAGAUGGGUUGUUAAGUCAGUUGUGAAAGUUUGCGGCUCAACCGUAAAAUUGCAAUUGAUACUGGCAGUCUUGAGUACAGUUGAGGUAGGCGGAAUGCGUGGUGUAGCGGUGAAAUGCUUAGAUAUCGCGAAGAACCCCGAUUGCGAAGGCAGCUUACUAAACUGUGACUGACAUUGAUGCUCGAAAGUGCGGGUAUCAAACAGGAUUAGAUACCCGGGUAGUC